GAGUGGCGAACUGGUGAGUAACACGUGGGAAACCUGCCCAGAAGCGGGGGAUAACACCUGGAAACAGAUGCUAAUACCGCAUAACAACUUGGACCGCAUGGUCCGAGUUUGAAAGAUGGCUUCGGCUAUCACUUUUGGAUGGUCCCGCGGCGUAUUAGCUAGAUGGUGGGGUAACGGCUCACCAUGGCAAUGAUACGUAGCCGACCUGAGAGGGUAAUCGGCCACAUUGGGACUGAGACACGGCCCAAACUCCUACGGGAGGCAGCAGUAGGGAAUCUUCCACAAUGGACGAAAGUCUGAUGGAGCAACGCCGCGUGAGUGAAGAAGGGUUUCGGCUCGUAAAACUCUGUUGUUAAAGAAGAACAUAUCUGAGAGUAACUGUUCAGGUAUUGACGGUAUUUAACCAGAAAGCCACGGCUAACUACGUGCCAGCAGCCGCGGUAAUACGUAGGUGGCAAGCGUUGUCCGGAUUUAUUGGGCGUAAAGCGAGCGCACGCGGUUUUUUUAAGUCUGAUGUGAAAGCCUUCGGCGCAACCGAAGAAGUGCAUCGGAAACUGGGAAACUUGGGUGCAGACCAGGACAGUGGAACUCCAUGUGUAGCGGUGAAAUGCGUAGAUAUAUGGAAGAACACCAGUGGCGAAGGCGGCUGUUUUGGUCUGUAACUGACGCUGAGGCUCGAAAGUAUGGGUAGCAAACAGGAUUAGAUACCCUGGUAGUCCAUACCGUAAACGAUGAAUGCUAAGUGUUGGAGGGUUUCCGCCCUUCAGUGCUGCAGCUAACGCAUUAAGCAUUCCGCCUGGGGAGUACGGCCGCAAGGCUGAAACUCAAAGGAAUUGACGGGGGCCCGCACAAGCGGUGGAGCAUGUGGUUUAAUUCGAAGCUACGCGAAGAACCUUACCAGGUCUUGACAUACUAUGCAAAUCUAAGAGAUUAGACGUUCCCUUCGGGGACAUGGAUACAGGUGGUGCAUGGUUGUCGUCAGCUCGUGUCGUGAGAUGUUGGGUUAAGUCCCGCAACGAGCGCAACCCUUAUUAUCAGUUGCCAGCAUUAAGUUGGGCACUCUGGUGAGACUGCCGGUGACAAACCGGAGGAAGGUGGGGAUGACGUCAAAUCAUCAUGCCCCUUAUGACCUGGGCUACACACGUGCUACAAUGGAUGGUACAACGAGUUGCGAACUCGCGAGAGUAAGCUAAUCUCUUAAAGCCAUUCUCAGUUCGGAUUGUAGGCUGCAACUCGCCUACAUGAAGUCGGAAUCGCUAGUAAUCGCGGAUCAGCAUGCCGCGGUGAAUACGUUCCCGGGCCUUGUACACACCGCCCGUCACACCAUGAGAGUUUGUAACACCCAAAGUCGGUGGGGUAACCUU
rnacentral:rRNA from 1 species